AAUGAACGUUGGCGGCGUGGAUUAGGCAUGCAAGUCGAACGCCCCGCAAGGGGAGUGGCGCAAGGGUGAGUAAGGCGACGGUAACCAACCCCGCAAUUGGGCAUAGCCGAGGGAAACUUCGGGUAAUACCCAGCGAUGUUGAGUGGUGGCAUCACUGUUCAACCAAAGAUCCGUCGUUGCGGGACGGGCCGUUGUGGUAUUAGCUUGUUGGUGAGGUAACGGCUCACCAAGGCGGCGAUGCCUACCGGGUGUGCGAGCAUGACCCGGCACACUGGGACUGAGACACUGCCCAGACUCCUACGGGAGGCUGCAGUCGAGAAUCUUCGGCAAUGGGCGCAAGCCUGACCGAGCGACGCCGCGUGGAGGACGAAGGCCUUCGGGUUGUAAACUCCUGUCGAGGGGGAGGAAGGCGAAAGCUUGACCGAUCCCUGGAGGAAGGACGGGCUAAGUUCGUGCCAGCAGCCGCCGU
rnacentral:rRNA from 1 species